CAAUAGCGUAUAUUAAAGUUGUUGCGGUUAAAAAGCUCGUAGUUGGAUUUCUGUUGAGGACGGCCGGUCCGCACUAUGUGCGUGUAUCUGGUUCGGCCUCGGCAUCCUCUCGAAAGCCGUUUCUGCGCUUGAUUGCGUGGCUCGGACUUCGGGACUUUUACUUUGAGGAAAUUAGAGUGUUCACGGCAGGCAAGCGCCUUGAAUAUAUUAGCAUGGAAUAAUAAUAUAGGAUCUUGGUCCUAUUUUGUUGGUUUCUAGGGCUAAGAUAAUGAUUAAUAGGGACAAUUGGGGGCAUUCGUAUUAACGCGUCAGAGGUGGAAUUCUUGGAUUGCGUUACGACGAACUACUGCGAAANCANNNGCCAAGGAUGUUUUCAUNGA
rnacentral:rRNA from 1 species